CAGGACUCUCACACGGACAGAGGCAUCACCUCCCAAAAGAAGUCCGUGUCAUAAAGGGUCCCUUGGUUGUGGGGUUUAAUGACAUGAAACUAUUCUAUUCACCUCCAGGGCUAAGGAAGUAUCUUUUGAUUUAUUGCACUGUUCUAAACACUAUGUAAUUAGAUGAGCUUGGAACUCUGCAAGGGGGGCAGUUUGUAGUGCAGAUCCGUUUCCCACUGAAGUGCAUGGAGGCUGCAGGAGCGGAGGUGAAGGGGAUGGAGGUGAGUAAGAGAGGGGAGUUCCCCUGCGGGGCCUUCAGACUCCAGCUGGGAUAAGGCGUGGUUGUGCUGGGCAGGGACCCUGCGCCUGUGCCCCGUCCUGCAGGCCAGCAAGUCGCCCUUCCUAGGAGGCAGUCUUCAGUCUACACUCUGCAAACAGCGCCCCCUGGAACCGUGCAACAUGAGGGUCCUGGCACUUUCGUGUACGAGUGUUUCUGAAAGGUUUCUUCAAAGGCUGGUUCCCUAGCCACCUCCCCUCUCUCCUUCUACUUCCAUACGCCAGCAAGUCAUUUACCUGAAACUUCUCUCACCAAUGACUUCUUAAUUGCCCAAUGCAACAGCUUCUUUUCCUACUUGACAUUCUGCAUCGUGGUAUAUCAGGAGAGUAUCCUGUGGAUAAAUAAACAGGCUUCAGGAGCAGUAAGACCUUGAAUCCAGGAUCUACUCUUAUGAGCACUGUGAUAUGAAGUCUUGGAAAUCUAGGUUUCCUCAUCAGGAAAUGAAGAUAAUAUGAGCUCCUAUGUCAUGGGUUUCUCAUGAUGAUUAAAUAGAAUAAUAUGUGUAAACAGUCUGACAGUGCUUGGCACAAGGCCAGCUCUCAAUGUUUGGUUAUUGAUUUUAGUAUUGAGCUGGGUGUGGUUCAUGCCUGUGAUCCCAGCACUUUGGGAGGCCAAGGCAGGAAGAUCACUUGAGGCCAGCCGGGACAACAUAGAGAGACCUCAUCUCUACAAAAAAUUAAAACGUUAGCCAACCAUGGUGGCACAUGCCUAUAGUCUCAGCUACUCAGGAGGCUAAGACAAGAGACUCACUUAAGCCCAGGAGUUCAAGGAUACGGUGAGCCAUGAUUGCACCAUGCACUCCAGCCUGAGUAACAGAGCAAGACCCUGUCUCUUAAAAUAUAAAAAUCAUAAUUUUUUUAAAAAA
rnacentral:lncRNA from 10 species